rnacentral:rRNA from 1 species
UACAGGGGGGGCAAGCGUUGUUCGGAAUUACUGGGCGUAAAGGGUCAGUAGGCGGCCAACUAAGUCCGACGUGAAAUCCCCAGGCUUAACCUGGGAACUGCGUCGGAUACUGGAUGGCUUGAAUUCGGGAGAGGGAUGCAGAAUUCCAGGUGUAGCGGUGAAAUGCGUAGAUAUCUGGAGGAAUACCGGUGGCGAAGGCGGCAUCCUGGACCGACAUUGACGCUGAACGACGAAAGCUAGGGGAGCAAACGGG